UGGGGAUAUAGCUCAGUUGGUAGAAUGUUUGCCUCACAUGCACAAAAUCCUGGGUUCAGUACCCAGAACCACAA
rnacentral:tRNA from 1 species